AGAGUUUGAUCCUGGCUCAGGAUGAACGCUGACAGAAUGCUUAACACAUGCAAGUCUACUUGAACUUCGGUUUGGGUGGCGGACGGGUGAGUAACGCGUAAAGAACUUGCCUCACAGUUAGGGACAACAUUUGGAAACGAAUGCUAAUACCUGAUAUUAUGAUUUUAGGGCAUCCUAAGAUUAUGAAAGCUAUAUGCGCUGUGAGAGAGCUUUGCGUCCCAUUAGCUAGUUGGAGAGGUAACGGCUCACCAAGGCGAUGAUGGGUAGCCGGCCUGAGAGGGUGAACGGCCACAAGGGGACUGAGACACGGCCCUUACUCCUACGGGAGGCAGCAGUGGGGAAUAUUGGACAAUGGACCAAAAGUCUGAUCCAGCAAUUCUGUGUGCACGAUGACGUUUUUCGGAAUGUAAAGUGCUUUCAGUUGGGAAGAAAAAAAUGACGGUACCAACAGAAGAAGUGACGGCUAAAUACGUGCCAGCAGCCGCGGUAAUACGUAUGUCACAAGCGUUAUCCGGAUUUAUUGGGCGUAAAGCGCGUCUAGGUGGUUAUGUAAGUCUGAUGUGAAAAUGCAGGGCUCAACUCUGUAUUGCGUUGGAAACUGUAUAACUAGAGUACUGGAGAGGUAAGCGGAACUACAAGUGUAGAGGUGAAAUUCGUAGAUAUUUGUAGGAAUGCCGAUGGGGAAGCCAGCUUACUGGACAGAUACUGACGCUAAAGCGCGAAAGCGUGGGUAGCAAACAGGAUUAGAUACCCUGGUAGUCCACGCCGUAAACGAUGAGUGCUAAGUGUUGGUCUCAUAAGAGAUCAGUGCUGCAGCUAACGCAUUAAGCACUCCGCCUGGGGAGUACGACCGCAAGGUUGAAAC
rnacentral:rRNA from 1 species